GGGGGGCUAGCUCAGUUGGCUAGAGCACUAGCUUUGCAAGCUAGGGGUCAAGGGUUCGACUCCCUUGCUCUCCACCA
rnacentral:tRNA from 1 species